rnacentral:rRNA from 1 species
AACGAACGCUGGCGGCAGGCCUAACACAUGCAAGUCGAGCGAACCCUUCGGGGUUAGCGGCGGACGGGUUAGUAACGCGUGGGAAUAUACCCUUUGGUACGGAAUAGCCUCGGGAAAACUGAGAGUAAUACCGUAUGUGCCCUUCGGGGGAAAGAUUUAUCGCCAAAGGAUUAGCCCGCGUUGGAUUAGAUAGUUGGUGGGGUAAUGGCCUACCAAGUCUACGAUCCAUAGCUGGUUUGAGAGGAUGAUCAGCAACACUGGGACUGAGACACGGCCCAGACUCCUACGGGAGGCAGCAGUGGGGAAUCUUAGACAAUGGGCGCAAGCCUGAUCUAGCCAUGCCGCGUGGACGAUGAAGGCCUUAGGGUUGUAAAGUCCUUUCAGAUGGGAAGAUAAUGACGGUACCAUCAGAAGAAGCCCCGGNUAACUCCGUG